AGAGGCACAAGAUUCUAGGGUUACAGGGUCAGGGUUAUGGGGUUGUAGAGGCACAGGAUUAUAGGGCUUUAGUGUCAGGGUUAUAGGGUCAGGGUUAUGGGGUUGUAGAGGCACAGGAUUCUAGGGUUAUAGGGUCAGGGUUAUGGGGUUGUAGAGGCACAGGAUUCUAGGGUUAUAGGGUCAGGGUUAUGGGGUCAGGGUUAUGGGGUCAGGGUUAUAGGGUCAGGGCUAUAGGGUCAGGUUAUAGGGUCCGUGUUGUAGGGUCAGGGUUUAGGGUCCGUGUUGUGGGGUCCGGUUAUAGGGUCAGGUUAUAGGGUCAGUUUAUAGGAUCAGGUUAUAGGGUCAGGUUAUAGGGUCAGUUUAUAGGGUCAGUUUAUAGGAUCAGGUUGUAGGAUCAGGUUAUAGGAUCAGGUUAU
rnacentral:lncRNA from 1 species